CAAGGUGUGCAAAAUCAUUCAUGUGUGUGGAAUGCUGCACAAUAUUUGCAAGGAUAGGAAUCUUCCUCUUCCUCUGGAUGACGAGCAACCAAUGGGUGCAGAGGCACAAGUCCCAGUGCCAUUAAAUGAUGCUGCAGAAGAACCUGCCAAUGCGCCCGGUGGUCACCGUAAUGAGGGUCGUGCCUAUCGGGAUGCAUUCUGCACCUUGCAUUUCAACAAUGAGGACUGAUGGAACGUCCUCCAACAGGGCCUCGUGUACCUACCUUGCCUGUUCCUUGGCCCGCAUAGCUGCCUCCUUGGCCCUCGCAGCGGACUCCUUGGCACAACAGACUGCUCAAACCCAUCUGACAGAGUCCAGCGACUCUGCAGCUCGUUUGCCCAGGACCUGGUAUAUGCCAUUACCAAUGGUAAGGUGAAUUCCUGAUCAACCAGUGGAAGCAGCCUGUAAAUAGGGAGAAGAUACAGGACAAGUCACUCUAUGUGACAUGUGGAGAGGCAUGCUAUCUAUUCACCAAGGACCAGUGGGCUGAAAUCAAAACUCUGACGACAACACAAGAAGAGGCUGAUACACGAGUGCUUCUUCAUGCCUGGCAUGCUGCAAAGGAUGGAUACAGAUCCAUAGUCAUCACAGCUGAUGACACAGAUGUGCUGAUCCUUAGUAUCUGCCUUAGCAAGAAGCUGGCCUGCCCACUGUACCACAAGUCAGGUACAGAGAACAGGACCCGGUACAUCGAUGUUUGCAAGCUUUCAAACUCUUUGGGCGAAGAUGUCUGUCUGGCUCUUGUUGGAUUGCACGCCUUCACAGGCUGUGACACAGUUAGUUCGUUUGCAGGUCGCGGAAAACUGGGUGCACUGAAGCUCUUGAGAGAGAGCACAACCUACAGACAGGCCUUCCGUCAGCUUGGUGAGGAAUGGAAUGUUUCCACAGACUUAUUCGACAAGAUGCAGGAGUUUGUGUGCCGCAUGUAUGCAACCUCCACUACCAUUUGCGAUGUAAAUGAUCUCCGCUACCACCUCUUCCUUGCA